rnacentral:rRNA from 1 species
AAAGAUAGCACGUAAAACGCUGAGAUGGAAAAUUUCCUUUAAAUACCCAUCAGAAUGAGAGGAAUUACCCCCCACGACCAGCACCCAAAGCUGGCAUUCUACUAAAUUACACUCUGUUAGUUUUACCUGUGAACUCACCCCCACUAAAACACAAGGAUUUGGUCCCAGUCCUUAAACCAAUUACCACUUAACUUACACAUGCAAGUCUCAGCACACCUGUGAAAACGCCCCCACCCAAAAGUGGGGAGCCGGUAUCAGGCACAACAAUUGCCCAAGACACCUAGCCCCGCCACACCCACAAGGGCAUGCAGCAGUAAUUAACAUUAAGCAUAAACGCCAGUUUGACUUAAUUAAAGUACUCAGAGCCGGCCAACCCGGUGCCAGCCGCCGCGGAUACACCGUUGGACUCAAAUUGGUAUACCUCGGCGUAAAGCGUGGUUUAAGCUACACACCACUAAGAUUAAACUCAAGCUCAACUGUCUAAAGUCUUGCUUCCAGGAAACCCACAAACGAAAGUUAUCUUAUCCGCCACUUCUUGAACCCACGACAACUAGGACCACAAACUGGGAUUAGAUACCCCACUAUGCCUGGUCGUAAACUUUACUUACACCCCCCACCCGCCAGGGAACUACGAGCCAA